rnacentral:pre_miRNA from 2 species
UGUUGAGAGGCAGGAAACAUGCCGUAUUUCCUCUGGGUAAGUUUCUUGCCUCUUACAAU